GGGGGAAAUUCCCCCUACCUUUUCACCAACCCCCUUGGAGAUCCACCCCAGGCCUUCAGCACUUUGCAGCCGGGAUGUUUUUCUUCUUUCUGGGGUCCUUCAUCCAUCCAACGAAUCCUUCCUGAGCUUCUACCGUACUAGGUUCUGGGGAUGGAGUAGUGAACAAGGCACACACAAUGGCCUCCUCCACGGAGCCCAAGGUUUAGUGGGGGAAGUGGAUACACAUGCAGCCAGUUUCACUACAGUGAGUGUGGUAUGUGCUGGGAUGGGGGCAGCACACGCUGCUGUGACAGCCCAAGGGGGCCCAAACCCUUUGUGGAGGUGGGAGGAUAUCUGAGCUGAGGCUUGAAGGACGUGUGGGCCUCGGCCAGGAAGAGCAGGGAUGAGGGGGUGGAGAGGGUUCCGGCCAAGGGAAAAGCCUGUGCAAAGGCUAGUGAGACUUCCUGGGGCAUAGCGCUGGGGCUGGAGUGGAGUCAGAGCCCCAGAACACAGAGCCCCUGGGACUCCAGAGCAGGAGGGUGGGCUUCAUCUGGAGGCUUUAGGAAAUCACUGAAAAUUUUUAACCAGGGGAGAUCGGAUUUUCAUUCCAGAAGAGUCCCUCUGGCAGCUGUGUGGGGUUGACUCAGAAGGACAAAAUUGGAGGCUGGGAGGCUGCUGCAGAAGCAGGGGAGAGGGGGGAGCUGGGUCUGGGUUAAGGAAGAGGCAGUAGAGGUGAAGAGAAGUGGGUGAAUUUGAGACAUGGUUGGAAGGUAGAGUGAUAGUGCUUGGCUGUAUAUGACAAGGAGCGGGGAACAGCAGGGAAUAACAUUCAACUUCUGACUUGGGCAACUGUGUGGAAAGUUGGGACCAUUCUCUGAGAGAAAGAACACCAGGGAGAGGGGGUGCUUGAUGGGGAAGAGGAUGUGUCCUGUUUUUUUCGACUUCUCAUUGGAGUAUAAAAUUUAUGCAGAAAAGUGCACAUACCACAAUCAGUGAUUUGCACCAAACACUGCUGUGUAACUAGCACCCAGGGCGAGGACCAGGCUGGGAAUCAUCACCUGCAGGGCACUCAGAUGCCCCCUCUUGUUCCCUUCAGCUACUGCUCCCCAGGGUCUUAACGCCCAGCACCACAGCUCAGCUUAAGCAUAUAAUUGGAAGUGUACAGUGUGUACUCCUUCCUGUCUGGCUUCUUUUGCUCAACAUAAUGUUUGUGAGAUUUAUCCAUAUUGUUGGAUAAAUCAUUCAUUUUCAGUACUGUGGGCGGGUAUUCUAGCAUAGGAACGUGCCAACAUUUGUUUACCUGCUCUACUGUUGAUGGGCAUUUGAAUAGUUUCCAGUUUGGCGUCCUCAUGAGCAGUGGUCCUGUGAGCGUUCUUGUACAUGUGCUUUGGUGCACAUAUGUAUACACUGUUGGACACGAGGAGUGGGAUUGUGAGCCGCGGCGUGGGCGUGCAUUCUCCUUUAGAAGAUUCUGCCCAAAGUGCUUGUGCCAUCAGCUCCAUUUUUUUUUUUUUUUUUUUUUUUUUUUUUGCGGUACGCGGGCCUCUCACUGUUGUGGCCUAUCCCGUUGUGGAGCACAGGCUCCGGAGGCGCAGGCUCAGCGGCCAUGGCUCACGGGCCCAGCUGCUCCGCGGCACGUGGGAUCCUCCCGGACCGGGGCACGAACCCGCGUCCCCUGCAUCGGCAGGCGGACUCUCAACCACCGCGCCACCAGGGAAGCCCCAUCAGCUCCAUUUUUUUUUUUUUUUUAAUAAAUUUAUUUAUUUAUUUAUGGCUGCAUUGGGUCUUCGUUGCUGUGCACGGGCUUUCUCUAGUUGCGGUGAGCCGGGGCUACUCUUUGUUGUGGUGCACGGGCUUCUCAUUGCUGUGGCUUCUCUUGUUGCGGAGCACGGGCUCUAGGUGCGCGGGCUUCGGUAGUUGUGGCUCACGGGCUCUAGAGCGCAGGUUCAGCAGUGUGGUGCACGGGCUUAGUUGCUCCGCGGCAUGUGGGAUCUUCCCGGACCAGGGCUUGAACCCAUGUCCUCUGCAUUGGCAGGCGGAUUCUUAACCACUGCACCACCAGGGAAGCCCCAUCAGCUCCAUUUUGAUCAUGCUGAGUCUGAGGGUUUCUCAGACAUCUAGGAGGAGCUGUCCAGCAGGCAGUUGGCUACAUGGAUCUGAACAAUCAGUAAAGAAGCUGGGAUUGGAGAUGUAAAUUGGGGGCUUGGGACAACUUGUGGGACAUCUGAGAAGUCACCAUUUGUUCUGCAGCUGGCCCUGGGGGUGAAGAGCAAGACGAGGAAUGGAGAGGAUGGAGACAGCUAUGGAAACUGGGCCAGUGGAAGGAGGGGAGACACGCCAUAGACGUCAGCCAGGCCGUGCCACAUAGCAUGCAGGAUCUCACCCAUGCCCCCUGCCGUGGAAGCACUGAUUCUUAACCACUGGACCACCAGGCAAGUCCUUAAAGGUGUCCUUUGAAGCACAACUUUGAUUAAGUUCAGUGUCUCAAUCCAUUCUGGCUGCUAUAAUGAAAUACCUCAGACUAGGUAGCUUCUAAACAACAGAAAUUUAUGUCUCACAGUUCUAGAGGCUGAAAGUCCAAGAUCAGGGUGUCAGCAUGGUCAGGUGAGGGCCCUCUUCUGGGCUGCAGACUUCUUGUUUUAGCCUCACGUGACGAAAGGAGCUAGGGAGCUCUGUGGGCCUCUUUUAUAAGGAUACUAAUCCCAGUCACGAGGGCUUUGCCCUCAUGACCUUAUAACCUCCCAGAGGUCCCACCUCCUAAAAUCAUUGCCUUGGGAAUUAGGAUUUCAACAUAUGAAUACGGGUGGGGGGAUGGGGACACAAACAUCCAGCCCACA